AUGUAGCUCAGAUGGUAGAGUGCUCGCUUAGCAUACGAAAGAAUCAUGGGGAUGUAGCUAAAUGGUAGAGCGAUCACUUUGCAUGCGAGAGAUACGGCCUGCAUCUCCAAAGGAACACUAUCAAUAAUUAAGUUUAGGAAUGGGGAUGUAGCUCAGAUGGUUUAGGAUUUUGUGACAUAAGAAUUUGGGGAUGUAGCUCAAAUGGUAGAGCGCUCGCUUCGCAUGUGAAAAGUACAAG